UACGUAGGGAGCGAGCGUUGUCCGGAUUCAUUGGGCGUAAAGAGCUCGUAGGCGGCUUGGUAAGUCGGAUGUGAAACCUCCAGGCUCAACCUGGAGUCGCCAUCCGAUACUGCCAUGGCUAGAGUCCGGUAGGGGCCCACGGAAUUCCUGGUGUAGCGGUGAAAUGCGCAGAUAUCAGGAGGAACACCGAUGGCGAAGGCAGCUCGCUGGGACGUGACUGACGCUGAGACGCGAAAGCGUGGGGAGCAAACAGG
rnacentral:rRNA from 1 species